UACAGAGGGGCAAGCGUUAUUCGGAAUUAUUUGGGCGUAAAGGGCGCGUAGGCGGCUUUGGCAAGUGGAUGGUGAAAUCCCUCGGCUUAACCGAGGAACUGCCGUCCAAACUGCUUCGCUUGAGACCGGGAGAGGUGAGUGGAAUUCCCAGUGUAGCGGUGAAAUGCGUAGAUAUUGGGAGGAACACCUAUGGCGAAGGGCAGCUCUCUGGGACGGUACUGACGCUGAGACGCGAAAAGCGUGGGGAGCGAACAGG
rnacentral:rRNA from 1 species